AAUGAACGCUGGCGGCGCGCCUAAUACAUGCAAGUCGAGCGAGAAGACGUAGCAAUACGUUUGUAAAGCGGCGAACGGGUGAGGAAUACAUGGGUAACCUACCCUCGAGUGGGGAAUAACUAGCCGAAAGGUUAGCUAAUACCGCGUACGCUCCUUGGACUUCGGUUCAGAGAGGAAAGCGAUACCGUGGGUAUCGCGCUCUUGGUUGGGCUCAUGUCCUAUCAGCUUGUUGGUGAGGUAACGGCUCACCAAGGCUUCGACGGGUAGCUGGUCUGAGAGGACGAUCAGCCACACUGGCACUGCGACACGGGCCAGACUCCUACGGGAGGCAGCAGUAAGGAAUAUUGCGCAAUGGGCGAAAGCCUGACGCAGCGACGCCGCGUGGGGGAUGAAGGUCUUCGGAUUGUAAACCCCUUUCGGGAGGGAAGAGUGGAACGAGCAAUCGUUCGGACGGUACCUCCAGAAGCAGCCACGGCUAAC
rnacentral:rRNA from 1 species